AUGAACGCUAGCUACAGGCUUAACACAUGCAAGUCGAGGGGAAACGACAUCGAAAGCUUGCUUUUGAUGGGCGUCGACCGGCGCACGGGUGAGUAACGCGUAUCCAACCUGCCCACCACUUGGGGAUAACCUUGCGAAAGUAAGACUAAUACCCAAUGACAUCCCACGAAGGCAUCCGAAUGGGAUUAAAGAUUUAUCGGUGAUGGAUGGGGAUGCGUCUGAUUAGCUUGUUGGCGGGGUAACGGCCCACCAAGGCAACGAUCAGUAGGGGUUCUGAGAGGAAGGUCCCCCACAUUGGAACUGAGACACGGUCCAAACUCCUACGGGAGGCAGCAGUGAGGAAUAUUGGUCAAUGGGCGAGAGCCUGAACCAGCCAAGUAGCGUGCAGGACGACGGCCCUAUGGGUUGUAAACUGCUUUUAUAAGGGAAUAAAGUGAGUCUCGUGAGACUUUUUGCAUGUACCUUAUGAAUAAGGACCGGCUAAUUCCGUGCCAGCAGCCGCGGUAAUACGGAAGGUCCGGGCGUUAUCCGGAUUUAUUGGGUUUAAAGGGAGCGUAGGCCGGAGAUUAAGCGUGUUGUGAAAUGUAGUGGCUCAACCUCUGCACUGCAGCGCGAACUGGUCUUCUUGAGUACGCACAACGUGGGCGGAAUUCGUGGUGUAGCGGUGAAAUGCUUAGAUAUCACGAAGAACUCCGAUUGCGAAGGCAGCUCACGGGAGCGCAACUGACGCUGAAGCUCGAAAGUGCGGGUAUCGAACAGGAUUAGAUACCCUGGUAGUCCGCACGGUAAACGAUGGAUGCCCGCUGUUGGCCUGAAUAGGUCAGCGGCCAAGCGAAAGCAUUAAGCAUCCCACCUGGGGAGUACGCCGGCAACGGUGAAACUCAAAGGAAUUGACGGGGGCCCGCACAAGCGGAGGAACAUGUGGUUUAAUUCGAUGCAACGCGAAGAACCUUACCUGGGUUUGACAUCCACGGAAUUUCUGUGAAAGCAGGAAGUGCCCGCAAGGGAGCCGUGAGACAGGUGCUGCAUGGCUGUCGUCAGCUCGUGUCGUGAGAUGUUGGGUUAAGUCCCGCAACGAGCGCAACCCCUCUCCUUAGUUGCCAUCAGGUUAAGCUGGGCACUCUGGGGACACUGCCACCGUAAGGUGUGAGGAAGGUGGGGAUGACGUCAAAUCAGCACGGCCCUUACGUCCGGGGCUACACACGUGUUACAAUGGCAGGUACAGAGAGACGGUUGUACGUAAGUACGAUCAAAUCCUUAAAGCCUGUCUCAGUUCGGACUGGGGUCUGCAACCCGACCCCACGAAGCUGGAUUCGCUAGUAAUCGCGCAUCAGCCAUGGCGCGGUGAAUACGUUCCCGGGCCUUGUACACACCGCCCGUCAAGCCAUGAAAGCCGGGGGCGCCUGAAGUCCGUGACCGUAAGGAGCGGCCUAGGGCGAAACUGGUAAUUGGGGCU
rnacentral:rRNA from 1 species